ACAAGCGGUGGAGCAUGUGGUUUAAUUCAAAGCAACGCGAAGAACCUUACCAGGUCUUGACAUCCCUGACAACCCGAGAGAUCGGGCGUUCCCCUUCGGGGGACAGGGUGACAGGUGGUGCAUGGUUGUCGUCAGCUCGUGUCGUGAGAUGUUGGGUUAAGUCCCGCAACGAGCGCAACCCUCGACCUUAGUUGCCAGCAUUCAGUUGGGCACUCUAAGGUGACUGCCGGCUAAAAGUCGGAGGAAGGUGGGGAUGACGUCAAAUCAUCAUGCCCCUUAUGACCUGGGCUACACACGUGCUACAAUGGGCGGUACAAAGGGUCGCGAACCCGCGAGGGGGAGCCAAUCCCAAAAAGCCGCUCUCAGUUCGGAUUGCAGGCUGCAACUCGCCUGCAUGAAGCCGGAAUCGCUAGUAAUCGCGGAUCAGCAUGCCGCGGUGAAUACGUUCCCGGGCCUU
rnacentral:rRNA from 1 species